AUGUUUACAUAACAAACAUUAUAAAACAUAUAAAAAUACUGGUCAAUAUAAGUAUACAAUACUUAUGUAAAUACUUUCAUUUCAAAAUGAUUUUAUAGUUUGGAGAAUAAUGGGUGGGAAAAGAAGAAAUACAGCACCAAAGCUACAAUAGGUCCACAAGCUCGUGCCAAUGCUCCAAGAGAACGAAAAACACCUGUUAUUGCACCUUUUUGAUGAUCAGGCCCAAUACGUGUCACAAGAGUCAUCAUACAUGUAACAACCAUUGCAGUAGCUAUAACGAAUAAAAAAAUAAUUGAUGGAUAUUUAUUGUAUUUUAUACAUAUAAAUCAUAAGUGUCAUGUAAAUUGUAAAUGUCAUAGUAUACUCACAAAUUGCAAACAGAAGUAAUCCAAUUGACAAUGUCAAUAUAUCACUUGCAAAACCUAGACAAAUAAAAGCUGGAAUGAUCAACCACAAACCCUAAAAUAUUUAUAGAAUUAUAUAAUUUAAUUAAAAUAAAAUUAAUUUUUAUCAAA